rnacentral:rRNA from 1 species
UGCCAGCAGCCGCGGUAAUACGGAGGGUGCAAGCGUUGUUCGGAUUUACUGGGCGUAAAGGGUGCGUAGGCGGUUAUGCAAGUUAGAGGUGAAAGGCUACGGCUCAACCGUAGUAGGCCUUUAAAACUGCAUAACUUGAGUGCAGGAGAGGAGGGUGGAAUUCCUAGUGUAGCGGUGAAAUGCGUAGAUAUUAGGAGGAACACCAGUGGCGAAGGCGACUCUCUGGACUGUAACUGACGCUGAGGCACGAAAGCGUGGGGAGCGAACAGGAUUAGAUA